rnacentral:tRNA from 1 species
GCGCUCUCGGCGAGGUCGGCGAGCGCCGCGCUGGCAUCGAGGCUGGCGAGCGCGCCGGCAAUCGCGCCGAUCGCUUCGGCGAGGCCGCGC